rnacentral:rRNA from 1 species
AUACGAAAGCUGCAAGCGUUGUUCGGAUUUACUGGGCGUAAAGAGAGUGUAGGUGGUUUAUUAAGUCGGAUGUGAAAUCCCGGGGCUCAACCUCGGAACUGCAUUCGAUACUGAUAGGCUAGAGUUUGGGAGGGGUAAGCGGAAUUCCGUGUGUAGCAGUGAAAUGCGUAGAUAUACGGAGGAACACCUGAGGCGAAGGCGGCUUACUGGACCGAUACUGACACUGAGACUCGAAAGCGUGGGUAGCAAACAGGAUUAGAAACCCCAGUAGUCC